CAGAGCAGGAUGCCCAGCAACCAAAUCUGGCAUUUCUGGUUUCAAAUAGAGUACAUUAAGGUCGAGAUAUCGUUUCAGUCGCCUUAAUACAGAUGGGCGAUUCGAUUGUUGCUCGACAACAU
rfam:Picea glauca, whole genome shotgun sequence.